UACUGCGUUCGUGGGUUUGAGACAUAAGUAAAAUAUCUCUGUAGAAAUUAGUAGAUGUGCAUUAUUAUGAUGGUGUCGAUAAAACAAAAAGUUAUUAUCAAAAUGUACCAUAUAUGUAAGAACAGAAGAACAACGAAACUCUGCAGACUGAUGCAGCAAUACCUGGAGAAUUGCUUAGAAAUUCUUAGACUUCAAGUAUAUUUUUUAAGAAAAGACAUAGCAGAGGAGGAACCUUUUUUCUAUGAUACAGAAGUGAAGAGAACUGAAUAACUGUAAAAUAAGAUUUUAGAACUGCUACUGAAUAAAAUAAACUUGGUUAUGGCUGUAAUUUAAUUAAUGACUGUUAAGAAAUUGUAAAAAUAUUUUACAUGAGCAAUGAAUGAAAUAUAUUGGAAAUGUAACUUCCAUGAACUAUGAAAUUUGUGUAAAUAAGAGAAAAAUAAACUUACGUUUGGGUAGA